CCGUGAUCUUUUGGCAGAGGGGAUCACGUAAAUGUGUUGAUUAUUUGGUUGAAGCGUUUGUGCAGAAGCUGAGCCAAUUAGUGCUACUUUAGCUGCUGUAAAAGCCACUCAAGAUAAUGUUACAUUGAUCACCUCUUCUUGGACGGUUACGUCGAUGGAGG